AGAGUUUGAUCCUGGCUCAGAUUGAACGCUGGCGGCAGGCCUAACACAUGCAAGUCGAGCGGUAGCACAGAGAGCUUGCUCUCGGGUGACGAGCGGCGGACGGGUGAGUAAUGUCUGGGAAACUGCCUGAUGGAGGGGGAUAACUACUGGAAACGGUAGCUAAUACCGCAUAACGUCGCAAGACCAAAGUGGGGGACCUUCGGGCCUCAUGCCAUCAGAUGUGCCCAGAUGGGAUUAGCUAGUAGGUGGGGUAACGGCUCACCUAGGCGACGAUCCCUAGCUGGUCUGAGAGGAUGACCAGCCACACUGGAACUGAGACACGGUCCAGACUCCUACGGGAGGCAGCAGUGGGGAAUAUUGCACAAUGGGCGCAAGCCUGAUGCAGCCAUGCCGCGUGUGUGAAGAAGGCCUUCGGGUUGUAAAGCACUUUCAGCGGGGAGGAAGGCGGUGAGGUUAAUAACCUCAUCGAUUGACGUUACCCGCAGAAGAAGCACCGGCUAACUCCGUGCCAGCAGCCGCGGUAAUACGGAGGGUGCAAGCGUUAAUCGGAAUUACUGGGCGUAAAGCGCACGCAGGCGGUCUGUCAAGUCGGAUGUGAAAUCCCCGGGCUCAACCUGGGAACUGCAUUCGAAACUGGCAGGCUAGAGUCUUGUAGAGGGGGGUAGAAUUCCAGGUGUAGCGGUGAAAUGCGUAGAGAUCUGGAGGAAUACCGGUGGCGAAGGCGGCCCCCUGGACAAAGACUGACGCUCAGGUGCGAAAGCGUGGGGAGCAAACAGGAUUAGAUACCCUGGUAGUCCACGCUGUAAACGAUGUCGAUUUGGAGGUUGUGCCCUUGAGGCGUGGCUUCCGGAGCUAACGCGUUAAAUCGACCGCCUGGGGAGUACGGCCGCAAGGUUAAAACUCAAAUGAAUUGACGGGGGCCCGCACAAGCGGUGGAGCAUGUGGUUUAAUUCGAUGCAACGCGAAGAACCUUACCUGGUCUUGACAUCCACAGAACUUUCCAGAGAUGGAUUGGUGCCUUCGGGAACUGUGAGACAGGUGCUGCAUGGCUGUCGUCAGCUCGUGUUGUGAAAUGUUGGGUUAAGUCCCGCAACGAGCGCAACCCUUAUCCUUUGUUGCCAGCGGUUAGGCCGGGAACUCAAAGGAGACUGCCAGUGAUAAACUGGAGGAAGGUGGGGAUGACGUCAAGUCAUCAUGGCCCUUACGACCAGGGCUACACACGUGCUACAAUGGCAUAUACAAAGAGAAGCGACCUCGCGAGAGCAAGCGGACCUCAUAAAGUAUGUCGUAGUCCGGAUUGGAGUCUGCAACUCGACUCCAUGAAGUCGGAAUCGCUAGUAAUCGUAGAUCAGAAUGCUACGGUGAAUACGUUCCCGGGCCUUGUACACACCGCCCGUCACACCAUGGGAGUGGGUUGCAAAAGAAGUAGGUAGCUUAACCUUCGGGAGGGCGCUUACCACUUUGUGAUUCAUGACUGGGGUGAAGUCGUAACAAGGUAACCGUAGGGGAACCUGCGGCUGGAUCACCUCCUUA
rnacentral:rRNA from 1 species